rnacentral:rRNA from 1 species
GAUGAACGCUGGCGGCGUGCUUAAUACAUGCAAGUCGAGCGAACAGACGAGGAGCUUGCUCCUCUGACGUUAGCGGCGGACGGGUGAGUAACACGUGGAUAACCUACCUAUAAGACUGGGAUAACUUCGGGAAACCGGAGCUAAUACCGGAUAAUAUAUUGAACCGCAUGGUUCAAUAGUGAAAGACGGUUUUGCUGUCACUUAUAGAUGGAUCCGCGCCGCAUUAGCUAGUUGGUAAGGUAACGGCUUACCAAGGCAACGAUGCGUAGCCGACCUGAGAGGGUGAUCGGCCACACUGGAACUGAGACACGGUCCAGACUCCUACGGGAGGCAGCAGUAGGGAAUCUUCCGCAAUGGGCGAAAGCCUGACGGAGCAACGCCGCGUGAGUGAUGAAGGUCUUCGGAUCGUAAAACUCUGUUAUUAGAGAAGAACAAAUGUGUAAGUAACUAUGCACGUCUUGACGGUACCUAAUCAGAAAGCCACGGCUAACUACGUG